AUACCUUCAUGGCUCCCCCUCUGCCCACAGAGGUGUCUACACUGGGUCCCCUUCCAUGUCUCCAAAUCUUCAGCCCUUUCCUUGACUAAGCGCACUCCAGUCUCCAGAAAAGUGCACAGCAUACUCUUCCCCAAACACACCUGGCACGCUCCUUGUCUGUUCUCUGCUUUCCUUCGAGCUGCUUUAAUCCUCCUGGAACACCAUCCUCCCCACUCUUCAUCCCCAUUGGCUGAAUCCUAGCUGGUCCUUCGCUGGGCAUCUACACGCCACUUCUUCCUGGUCCGCCCAGGGGGGGUUAUUCACAGCAGGUGCAAAAAAAGAAGAAGGAAGAAAUAAGAGAAAGAAAAGAAAGAAAGAAAGAAAGAAAGAAAGAAAGAAAGAAAGAAAGAAAGAAAGGGAAGGAAGGAAGGAAGGAAGGAAAGAAGGAAGGAAGGAAGGAAGGAAGGAAGGAAGGAAGGAAGGAAGGAAGGAAGGAAGAAAGGAAGAAAGGAAGAAAGGAAGAAAGGAAGAAAGAAAGAGAAAGGAAGUUGUUGAAUCUCAUCCUCUACUGGGAAAGUAGUCCAAAGCCAAUGAUGGUCAUCAGUUACAAGUGGGAUCCUGAGACAUCGUGAUGGAGACUGUUUUCUUCUGGGUUUUCUCUCAUCUUUUGGCUUGGGUCCUUCGGUAAAAUAGUAGUUGCCUCAAGGGCAGAUUGAGUGGCUGUCUUUGUGUUUAUUGACUACAGAGAUGUUUCUACCAUUGCCAGGACUAGACAAGGUAGGUCUAAAAAAGAG
rnacentral:lncRNA from 12 species